GAGUUAGCUCGAGAACCUUUGCAGCGUUGAGUGGAAGAAUGGCCCUUCGGUUGUGGCCCUACUCCCUCCAGGUCACAGCUCCCCGCCAGCAACCCGGGCUUCCACGCCUGGCCCAGGGAUAGCCCUCACGGAACCUCGGCGACCCUAGACACAGCCCUCCCCGAGGCCGCCCGCGCUGCUAGGCCCGGGGCUGAUGGCCGGGAGGCGUGGGAAGGGUCCUGGUAGGCCCCUUCCCUGGACGCAUCCAACCUGGGGCAGCUCUUGCCUUUUGCUUGUGACUUGUGGCCUGUGGCGGUCCCUGAGGGAGGUGGGGAAGGGAGACGGACUUCUGCCUCGAGAGGCUGUGGGAAAACUUGGCCAACUUUUUGGCCCACUUCUAACAAAACGACUUGAUCUUAUUUUUCCUACUCUUAUUUUUCCCCUCGUCCUGAUUUUCUCACCGACUUGUUUUUUACCUUGUAUUACGUGUAUUUUUGUAAGCCACCUCAAACCCUCUCUGGAAGGAGGGGCAGGUAUAAAUAAAUUUGUGCGCAAGUAGAGUAGCUUGCUACUUGCAUUACCCACACCCUUGUACAGAACUGCCCACUGACCCCCCAUCUCCUUGCUUUCUGGGUUACAGAUGGCCCGAAUUCCCUUCCUUCCCUUCCCUUCCUCCUUCAGGAAGUAGUUAUAACAAGAUAUAGCCCUUGCCCCAGCGAAUUUCGUAUUUAGAGGAAUCAGAACCAGGAACACCCGAGAGAAAGCUGAGGCACAAUCCAGGAGAUGCCACCAGGCAGAAUCCAUUCAUUCAUUCAAUAGUUAUUGAAGGCCUACUGUGUACCAAGAGCUCGUCCAAACUCUCGGGGUAUAACAAAGUUCCCUGUGCCCUUGGAACGGAAGACUAAGGGGUCAGGCCCUUAAACAGAGACUCAGUGGGUGCUACAGAGGGAGACAGGAUGGGAGCUCUGGGUAGUCAGGGAAGUCGGCUGGAGCAGGCCUUGACCUGGCCUUGAUGGGAUUUGGAUAAGUGAGGGGCCAUGGGGAGCAUGCAGGAAGAAAGAGCUAUUCUGGGCCUGGGGAAUCGACCUGGUUGGUCAAAGCCUGAGGAGUCCCAGGGGAAUUGGUCAUGUCAUAACUGCUCUAACCCACAGGAAGCAUUUUCUUAACUAUCAGAGUCGGGUUAUACGGUUUCCACAAGGACAACCCAGUGAACUUCAGGAAUCCAACAGGAAUGUCCAGGGAAUGGGGAGUUCGGGUCACCUUUGUAUUUCAGGACAGCUGAAGGGCUAGGUAGGGCUGCUGCCUUCUCCCAGCCUGGCCAGAUGGAUUCCCUCCUGGCACCAAGAUAGGCGCUGGGGAUGUGGCCUUGAACUAGGUUUAGUCAUCAGGAGCUGGCAGCCACCUGACAACCAUCUUGGCCCUUUGGCUGGGGCGGACCGGCUGGGUUGCUUGUUGGUUGGUGGCCGGGCAGUGGUGGCGGCUCUCCAGAGUGUGCUUUGGGUGAGUGUCAGAUUUAAGCUUUGCAUGGGACAAAAUAGUUUCCCUUUGGUCUGGGGAGCUACCUGAUAAUAUCCAGUGCAACGAGCUCUGCGGGUACAGUGCCCCAAACAGGAAUGGCUGGAAGUGCACCCACUUUAAAGCUGGGUGGACUAUGAAAGCCCAUCCAGGUGAGCCAGUGGAAGGAAAUGUUAGGACAGCGACUGCGGGCCUGUGACCCUGCUCUCUGGGGGCUGAGCUGUGUUCUGGAGUCCAGCUUGAGGCCCUGGGCUGGGUUUCUCUCCAGGCCACACGCCCUCUGGGGUUGGACGUUCAUGUCAGUUUGUUCGCCAGCUCUGGUACUUGGGGACUCCAGUCCUGCACCUUUGGCCACCUGCUCUCCCCCACCUCACACCCUUUUGAGAACAGGCCCCGAGGGUUCAGGAGAAUCUCUUGUGGUCUUUAACUUGUUUCUCUUGUCUCUAUUCCCUGCCUGCCUUCCAAGCUGUGUGAGACUAAGUGCUGGGGCUGGGGAAGGGGAAUAGUGACCCCUGAAGUCUUCAAGAGUGACUGUCCUCCACAACUUGUGGGGAGGCGCCCUCCUACCCAAUGUCUGGGGUUGCAUGGGUCCCCGCUGGGUCCUUCUGUCUCCGUAGCGGCGCGCUACUCUAACUGGGAUGUGUCCUGGGUCCCACAGUGCUCUGUCUCCUCCAGGACCCCGUGAACCUUUCUUAGGGCUGAGAGCGUGACUCUGGGGUCUCCAUACUG